AUGACCAUAGCAUGUGGUUUCUCUCGCUUCCUCAACACGCGCGUGCAUUCCUCCACAAAUCGCGUCCUCAGCCUCUGGUUCGCCUCCUGUCCCUGCUCCUCCGCCUCCGCCUCCGCCUUCGCCUCGGAGCCGCCGGAGAUAGCCGCGGGCCCGGAAACCGUCAGGGAAGGGCGGGCGGAGAUAUUCGCGGACAAGUCCAAUUCGGUCUUCUUCAACAAGGCUCAGGUUAACAACAGAGACCUUUCCAUUGCUGUUUUGAGAUGGUUUAUUUUGAAAAGACAGGAAGAGCAUGAUAUCCAAUUAAAAGCAGGCAGGCGUGCUGAGAUACCACCGGAGCAGCAUGCCGAUGGAUUAGACCCUGCUACCACAGGUUCUGAAGACACUGCAUUGAGAAAGGAAUCGAGCCUUAAAGCACCUAAAGUUCUUGAGGCUUUGGCUGCAUCAGGAUUAAGAGCUAUCCGAUAUGCACUUGAGGUGGAUGGAAUUGGGGAAGUUAUAGCUCUUGACAAUAAUGAAGUUGCUAUAGAAUCCUGUAAGAGAAAUAUCUAUCACAAUGGCAUUCUUGCAUCUUCGAAGGUGGUGCCACAUCUUGCUGACGCUCGCAUUUACAUGCUCACUCACCCUAAAGAAUUUGAUGUGGUUGAUCUUGAUCCUUAUGGAUCACCAGCUGCAUUCCUUGAUUCAGCAGUUCAAUGUGUUGCAGAUGGUGGUAUCUUGAUGUGCUCGGCUACAGACAUGGCAGUCCUUGCUGGGGGCAAUGCAGAAGUUUGCUUUUCCAAAUAUGGUUCUUAUCCAGUAAGAGGCAAAUACCGCCAUGAGAUGGCCUUGAGGAUUCUUCUUGCCUGCAUCGAGUCACAUGCGAUCCGCCACAAGCGCUAUAUAGUUCCUGUCAUAUCAGUGCACAUGGAUUUCUACAUUAGGGUUUUUGUGCGAAUCUUCACGUCGGCUAGCACGGUGAAAAGCUCACCUCUCAAAUUUUCACAUGUAUAUCAAUGUGUUGGUUGCAAUUCAUUUCACUUACAAAAUGUUGGAAGAAUAAACUCAAAGGAUAAGAGGAAUAUUCCUCUACCAAAUUUUUGCCCUAUUGUGCCUCAAGAGUGUUCGGAGUGUGGCGGUAAAUUUGUUAUGGGGGGGCCUAUAUGGAGUGAUCCAAUACAUGACAGGGAUUGGGCUGCUUCCAUUUUAUCAAAUAUCCGAGCAACUAGUGGUUUAUAUCAAGCUUAUGCAAAAAUUUCAGCUAUACUAACGUCAGUAUCAGAGGAAUUGCCCAAUGCACCUUUAUUCGUCAGUCUUCACAGUAUAUGUGCAACAUUGAAGUGCACUAAUCCAACCAUGGUUAUGUUUCAUUCGGCUAUAAGAAAUGCUGGGUAUGAAAUAUCAGGUAGCCAUGCGGAUCCGCUAGCUCUGAAAACAGAUGCGCCAAUGUCUGUAAUUUGGGACAUCAUGCGAUGUUGGGUCAAGCUUCACCCGGUAAAAUCUCAACCUGAGAACCUUCCAGGUAGCAGGAUACUUUCCCAAGAGCCACAAUUGCAGGCAUCGUUCUCUCAAGCAACCGGGGGUUUAGUUGCACGGAAGAGCCCGAGAUUUCUACCUAAUCCUGAAAAACACUGGGGUCCUAAGAUGAAGGCCGGUAGACCACUGAAGAUACUUCCCAUUGACAAAUUGUAA
rnacentral:rRNA from 1 species